rnacentral:rRNA from 1 species
GGUCAAGUUAUUAAGGGUGCAGGGCGGAUGCCUUGGCACUAGGAGCCGAUGAAGGACGUGAUAAGCUGCGAUAAGCUUCGGGGAGUUGCACGUAAACUUUGAUCCGAAGAUUUCCGAAUGAGGAAACUCACUUAGAGUAAUGUCUAAGUAUCAUUAAGUGAAUACAUAGCUUAAUGAGGGGAACUCAGGGAACUGAAACAUCUAAGUACCUGAAGGAAGAGAAAGAAAUUCGAUUCCGUAAGUAGCGGCGAGCGAACGCGGAUUAGCCCAAACCAAUAAAGUUUUCUUUAUUGGGGUUGCGGACAUAUCAUAACGAAGAGGUAUCGUAAUUGAAGAGGUUUGGAAAGACCCACCACAGAAGGUAAUAGUCCUGUAUGUUAAACGAGAAGACUUUAGAUAUGAUCCAGAGUACCACGGGACACGUGAAACCCUGUGGGAAGCAGGAGGGACCACCCUCCAAGGCUAAAUACUACCUAGUGACCGAUAGCGUAUAGUACCGUGAGGGAAAGGUGAAAAGAACCCCGGGAGGGGAGUGAAAUAGAACCUGAAACCCUGCACUUACAAGCUGUGGAAGCACAUUUCUUGUGUGACCGCGUACUUUUUGUAGAACGGGCCAACGAGUUACGUUAAGUAGCAAGGUUAAGCACUUAAGGUGUGGAGCCGUAGCGAAAGCGAGUUUUAACUGAGCGUUCAGUUACUUGACGUAGACCCGAAACCGGGCGACCUACCCAUGAGCAGGAUGAAGCGAAAGUAAAAUUUCGUGGAGGUCCGAACCCACGAGCGUUGAAAAGCUCGGGGAUGACUUGUGGGUAGCGGUGAAAUUCCAAUCGAGCCCGGAGAUAGCUGGUUCUCCCCGAAAUAGCUUUAGGGCUAGCCUCAAGGUGAGAGAUACGGAGGUAGAGCACUGAAUGUCCUAGGGGGUAUUGCACCUACCGAAGACUAUCAAACUCCGAAUGCCGUCAUCUUAUACUUGGGAGUCAGACUGUGGGUGAUAAGAUUCAUAGUCGAAAGGGCAACAGCCCAGAUCGUCAGCUAAGGUCCCUAAAUGUAAGUUAAGUGGUAAAGGAUGUGGGAUUGCACAGACAACCAGGAUGUUGGCUUAGAAGCAGCCACUCAUUCAAAGAGUGCGUAAUAGCUCACUGGUCGAGUGAUCCUGCGCCGAAGAUUUCCGGGGCUAAAACUUACUACCGAAGCUACGGCAUCAGUAAUGAUGGGUAGGGGAGCUUCCCAUACGGGUUGAAGCAUGACCGUAAGGACAUGUGGACAGUAUGGGAGUGAGAAUGUUGGCAUGAGUAGCGAGAUGUGGGUGAGAAUCCCACAGGCCGUAAACCCAAGGUUUCCAGGGGAAGGUUCGUCCGCCCUGGGUUAGUCGGGACCUAAGCUGAGGCCGAAAGGCGUAGGUGAUGGACAACAGGUUGAUAUUCCUGUACUACCGAUAACCGUUUGAGAGA